rnacentral:lncRNA from 1 species
GCAAUUAUCAGCCAAUGCUACACUGUGAAUAUUGCUUCUGGCAUCCAGUGUAUUACCUAGUUGAUCUCCAGAUGUUGACUGUAGUUGUGCUUGUUGAGGAGUAGCCGGUACUACAUAUGCUUCCUGGUGUUAGAAUAUACGCUUAACGCUAGGGGGGGGGGUAAAUAGCGUUAAAAUAAAAAUAAGCGUAAACUUGCGGAAUUUAAAAAUUGCAGGAAUGAAAUAAGUGCGAUAAGUAAAAAAUAAAGAACGAACGCACCGAUGUUAUCCUGGUUCACCACAACCCGUGGCUAG